rnacentral:rRNA from 1 species
AGUGAACGCUGGCGGUAGGCCUAACACAUGCAAGUCGAACGGCAGCACAGGAGAGCUUGCUCUCUGGGUGGCGAGUGGCGGACGGGUGAGGAAUACAUCGGAAUCUACUCUGUCGUGGGGGAUAACGUAGGGAAACUUACGCUAAUACCGCAUACGACCUACGGGUGAAAGCAGGGGACCUUCGGGCCUUGCGCGAUUGGAUGAGCCGAUGUCGGAUUAGCUAGUUGGCGGGGUAAAGGCCCACCAAGGCGACGAUCCGUAGCUGGUCUGAGAGGAUGAUCAGCCGCACUGGAACUGAGACACGGUCCAGACUCCUACGGGAGGCAGCAGUGGGGAAUAUUGGACAAUGGGCGCAAGCCUGAUCCAGCCAUACCGCGUGGGUGAAGAAGGCCUUCGGGUUGUAAAGCCCUUUUGUUGGGAAAGAAAUCCAGCUGGCUAAUACCCGGUUGGGAUGACGGUACCCAAAGAAUAAGCACCGGCUAACUUCGUGCCAGCAGCCGCCGUAA